rnacentral:rRNA from 1 species
GUGGGGGGUGCUAUACAUGCAGUCGAGCGAAUGGAUUGAGAGCUUGCUCUCAAGAAGUUAGCGGCGCACGGGAGAGGAACACGUGGGUAACCUGCCCAUAAGACUGGGAUCACUCCGGGAAACCGGGGCUAAUACCGGAUAACAUUUUGAACUGCAUGGUUCGAAGUUGAAAGGCCGCUUCCGCUGUCACUUAUGGAUGGACCCGCGUCUCAUUAGCUAGGUGGCGAGGCAACGGCGCAACAAUGCAACGACGACCAGCCAAGCUGAGAGGGCGAUCUGCCACUGAGACACUGACCACACCUCCCACACUCCGAAGGGAGGCGGAAUCAUCCAAUCUGUCACGAAUGUAUGACGGACCAACGCCGCAUCACUGAUGAAGGUUUUCAGAUCUUCAGCUCUGUUGCUCUGGAAGAACGCUUGAAAGAGUGACUGCUCACUAGGUGACGGUACCUGAGAAGAAAACCCCGGCUAACUACGUGCCAUCAGCCGCGGUAAUACGUAGGGGGCAAGCGUUGUCCGGAAUUAUUGGGCGUAUAGCGCGCGCAGGCGGCCUUGUAAGUCUGUCAUUUAAACUCGGAGCUCAACUUCGAGUCGCGAUGGAAACUGCUAAGCUUGAGUGCAAAGAGGAAAUGGAAUUCCCGUGUAGCGGUGAAUGCGUAGAGAUGUGGAGGAACACCAGUGGCGAAGGCGACUUUCUGGGCUGUAACUGACUCUGAGGCGCGAAAGCGUGGGGAGCAAACAGGAUUAGAUACCCUGGUAGUCCACGCCGUAAACGAUUGAUGCUAGGUGUUAGGGGUCUCGAUACCCUUGGUGCCGAAGUUACACAUUAACAUUCCGCCUGGUGAUACGGUCGCAGACUGAACUCAAAGAAUUGACGGGAACCGCACAGCAGUGGAGAUGUGGUUAAUUCGAGCACGCGAAAACCUUACAGGUCUUGAAUCCCUCUGACGACCUAAAAUCGGCUUCCUUCGGACAAAGAGAAAGUGGGCAUGUUUUCGC